AACGAACGCUGGCGGCAGGCCUAACACGUGCAAGUCGAGCGAGGACUUCGGUCCUAGCGGCGGACGGGUGAGUAACGCGUGGGAACGUGCCCUUUGCUUCGGAAUAGCCCUGGGAAACUGGGAGUAAUACCGGAUGAGCCCUUUGGGGGAAAGAUUUAUCGGCGAAGGAUCGGCCCGCGUUGGAUUAGGUAGUUGGUGGGGUAAUGGCCUACCAAGCCGACGAUCCAUAGCUGGUUUGAGAGGAUGAUCAGCCACACUGGGACUGAGACACGGCCCAGACUCCUACGGGAAGCAGCAGUGGGGAAUCUUAGACAAUGGGGGAAACCCUGAUCUAGCCAUGCCGCGUGAGCGAUGAAGGCCUUAGGGUUGUAAAGCUCUUUCAGCUGGGAAGAUAAUGACGGUACCAGCAGAAGAAGCCCCGGCUAACUCCGUG
rnacentral:rRNA from 1 species